UUCAUAUAUGUUUUUCAUAUAUAGAGUGAACUUCCACUUGUUGGAAAUCAAGCGCCAGACUUUGAGGCUGAAGCUGUUUUUGAUCAAGAAUUCAUCAAGGUUAAACUAUCUGAGUACAUUGGGAAGAAGUACGUCAUUCUCUUUUUCUACCCACUAGACUUUACAUUUGUUUGCCCAACAGAGAUCACUGCUUUCAGUGACCGUUAUGGAGAAUUUGAAAAGUUGAA